rnacentral:rRNA from 1 species
CUCGUAGGCGGUUUGUCGCGUCGGGAGUGAAAACACCGGGCUUAACUCGGUGCUUGCUUUCGAUACGGGCAGACUAGAGGUAUGCAGGGGAGAACGGAAUUCCUGGUGUAGCGGUGAAAUGCGCAGAUAUCAGGAGGAACACCGGUGGCGAAGGCGGUUCUCUGGGCAUUACCUGACGCUGAGGAGCGAAAGUGUGGGGAGCGAACAGGAUUAGAUACCCUGGUAGUCCACACCGUAAACGUUGGGCGCUAGGUGUGGGAUCCAUUCCACGGGUUCCGUGCCGCAGCUAACGCAUUAAGCGCCCCGCCUGGGGAGUACGGCCGCAAGGCUAAA